rnacentral:rRNA from 1 species
AUUGAACGCUGGCGGCAUGCCUUACACAUGCAAGUCGAACGGCAGCAUAGAGAGCUUGCUCUCUGAUGGCGAGUGGCGAACGGGUGAGUAAAGCAUCGGAACGUACCGUGUAGUGGGGGAUAACGUAGCGAAAGUUACGCUAAUACCGCAUACGUACUGAGGUAGAAAGCAGGGGAUCGUAAGACCUUGCGCUAUACGAGCGGCCGAAGUCAGAUUAGCUAGUUGGUAGGGUAAAGGCCUACCAAGGCGACGAUCUGUAGCGGGCCUGAGAGGAUGGUCCGCCACACUGGGACUGGGACACGGCCCAGACUCCUACGGGAGGCAGCAGUGGGGAAUUUUGGACAAUGGGGGCAACCCUGAUCCAGCCAUGCCGCGUGAGGGAAGAAGGCCUUAGGGUUGUAAAGCUCUUUCGGCCGGGAAGAAAUCGCACAGGCUAAUACCCUGUGUGGAUGACGGUACCGGCAUAAGAAGCACCGGCUAACUACGUGCCAGCCGCCGCGGUAA